rnacentral:rRNA from 1 species
GAGGAAUAUUGGUCAAUGGACGAAAGUCUGAACCAGCCAAGUAGCGUGCAGGAUGACGGCCCUCCGGGUUGUAAACUGCUUUUAGUUGGGAAUAAAAAAAGGGACGUGUCCCUUAUUGUAUGUACCUUCAGAAAAAGGACCGGCUAGUUCCGUGCCAGCAGCCGCGGUAAUACGGAAGGUCCAGGCGUUAUCCGGAUUUAUUGGGUUUAAAGGGAGCGUAGGCGGAUUGUUAAGUCAGCGGUUAAAGGGUGUGGCUCAACCAUACAUUGCCGUUGAAACUGGCGAUCUUGAGUGCAGACAGGGAUGCCGGAAUUCGUGGUGUAGCGGUGAAAUGCUUAGAUAUCACGAAGAACUCCGAUCGCGAAGGCAGGUGUCCGGGCUGCAACUGACGCUGAGGCUCGAAAGUGUGGGUAUCAAACAGGAUUAGAUACCCUGGUAGUCCACACAGUAAACGAUGUAUACUCGCGGUUUGCGAUAGACAGUAAGCCGCCAAGCGAAAGCAUUAAGUAUACCACCUGGGGAGUACGCCGGCAACGGUG